GAUGAACGCUGGCGGCGUGCUUAACACAUGCAAGUCGAACGAUGAAGCCCAGCUUGCUGGGUGUAUUAGUGGCGAACGGGUGAGUAACACGUGAGUAACCUGCCCUUGACUCUGGGAUAAGCCUGGGAAACUGGGUCUAAUACUGGAUAUGACUUCUCAUCGCAUGGUGGGGGGUGGAAAGAUUUAUUGGUCUUGGAUGGACUCGCGGCCUAUCAGCUUGUUGGUGAGGUAAUGGCUCACCAAGGCGACGACGGGUAGCCGGCCUGAGAGGGUGACCGGCCACACUGGGACUGAGACACGGCCCGGACUCCUACGGGAGGCAGCAGUGGGGAAUAUUGCACAAUGGGCGCAAGCCUGAGGCAGCGACGCCGCGUGAGGGAUGACGGCCUUCGGGUUGUAAACCUCUUUCAGUAGGGAAGAAGCGAGAGUGACGGUACCUGCAGAAGAAGCGCCGGCUAACUACGUG
rnacentral:rRNA from 1 species